GGAAAAAAUGAGAAGCCCAUACUAAUUAGGUUUAAUCGCCUUCUUCUCUACGAUAUUCUAGGCCUCUCUCUCUUUCUCUCUCCUUUUUUUUUUGGCUCUCUGCAACUUAAGAACACCGACUUGAAUACUGUAACGUCUUCAGCCCCAGGAAUGUGAAGAAAGGCGGUGAGCCUUGACAUGCCACUCAUUGAUGAGAAUAUUGCUAAACUGACAAACAUCUAAGCUUCUGAGGCUGCACAGACUGGGGAUAGGUGUUCAUGCGCAGGUUGAUACUGAGUUGCAUCGGUCCCUUGCUGAGAUUGUUGGGAAAACCUACACAUUCCAUAAACUGAACGAUUUCAAUUUUGCUUCGAAGCAUCAAACCUUCACCAUUUCCCGCAUAUUUCCAGAGCGAGAGCUUGCACCUAUGCCAGCCUUUGUCAUACCUCGCUGCAUGAAGUUGUGGCACCAGGAACAGAGGAGAAAGAUGCCAACACUUGCAAUGUGGCAGAGGAGAGCCAUCCACGUCUGAUGCUUCCACUGCCGGACGUCCUGCAUCGGACAAAGAACAAGUUACUGCUGAUAGGAAUGCCCGCAAGAAAGCACGUGUGGAAUGAGUCCACUGCUAGCUCUUAGACAACCACAACUUCUUAUCGACUACUGCUUAUCUUUUAAUUUUCGUCAACUUCUUAUCGACUACUGCUUUUAGUAUCUUUUACUUUUCGUUUAAUUCUAUUUCCCUUUUGUUUUAUAACUUCAUGUUGUGGUUGUCGUUUAAAUUAUUAAUGCAAAUUUUUUUAUGCAGAAAAUUUCCCUAUUUUGUGCCUUCAUAGAAAGAAAUGUCAUGAAGCCGCCAAGGCGGGUGUAAACAUAUUAACACUUGCAAAGGUUAUAAACAGUGG